rnacentral:rRNA from 1 species
AGUGAACGCUGGCGGUAGGCCUAACACAUGCAAGUCGAACGGCAGCACAGUAAGAGCUUGCUCUUACGGGUGGCGAAUGGCGGACGGGUGAGGAAUACAUCGGAAUCUACUUUUUCGUGGGGGAUAACGUAGGGAAACUUACGCUAAUACCGCAUACGACCUACGGGUGAAAGCAGGGGAUCUUCGGACCUUGCGCGAUUGAAUGGGCCGAUGUCGGAUUAGCUAGUUGGCGGGGUAAAGGCCCACCAAGGCGACGAUCCGUAGCUGGUCUGAGAGGAUGAUCAGCCACACUGGAACUGAGACACGGUCCAGACUCCUACGGGAGGCAGCAGUGGGGAAUAUUGGACAAUGGGCGCAAGCCUGAUCCAGCCAUACCGCGUGGGUGAAGAAGGCCUUCGGGUUGUAAAGCCCUUUUGUUGGGAAAGAAAAGCAGCAGGUUAAUACCCCGCUGUUCUGACGGUACCCAAAGAAUAAGCACCGGCUAACUUCGUG